AUGGUGUUACUUAUUUAUUUAUUCAUUCUUUCAUUCAAUAUAGGGUUGAUGUGUUGCACAUUUCCAGGGAGCAUCAGUGAUAUCAUCAUCUAUGUGGACAGUGCCCUUGAAGCUGUACAGGACACAACCUUCACAACCAUAUUCAGUUUGAUGAACAACAUAAACUGGGAGCUCAGUGGUCUAAAAGGACUUGACGUGUGGAAUGAAGGUCUCCUAGCCCACAAUGUAUUCAGUCCUCCCCACUACCCAGCCUCACAAGGAUACCAAUGCAGCCGUGUCAAGUGACAUUCAUUUGGAAGUCUGUGAACAAAAGAGGACAUUUGUUGUAAACUGAAGAUACAAGCAAUGAGCAAGGGAAAUCCUGCCUUCCAGGAAAAUGCACGUAGCUGAUUCCUUCCCAAUUUGUGUGAAUAUGCCAAAUGCUGCUUCUGCCAAGCCUCUUGGUGUGAUGAAUUCACAGACCCUGCAAUGGGAAAGUCAGCAGCUGUAGAGGUGGGGCUAUUCCUGGUAGGAAGGAGGCAGCUACCAUGCUUGCGCCUGCUGACCGGACUGCUGUUUCAAUAGGAACUUCCUCUCCAGGGGAGUUGGUUCAUAAUUUUCCUCUUACUACUACUGGAAGUCCUAUAAUGGCCAUAUCACAGCCUGUACCCAUUCACAACAGGAAAUUCUGACAAUCCUGUCUGACAAUCUGCAGACAAUCUUGGCACGAGAAGAGGAAAAGUCCAGUCUUGUGUGUCAGCUUCUAUAUUAGAACCAGAACAAUCAUUUUUAUGGUAUAGACCAUGUUGUCACCUUCACAAGUGAUGUUGGGCUCCAAAAAGGAAAAUGUACUCUAGUGAAGUUCAAGUGUGAUGUCUGCAAGCAAGGACCCCAGAGAAGGCAACACUUUGAGGACCCUGAACAAAAACACUGUGGUGACUCUAAAUCCAAGGAAAGGCGCUUUGAUAGUGGGAGACGGUUUCUGGUGCAUGAGUUCCUUGUACGGUAUUAUCCUACGUGUUCAGGACAGCGGGGCCCCGUGGGAACUACGGGUCCUCACAGGCAUGCUGAAGUUAGCAACUAACCACUCACAAAAUCUGAUAGGCAUCUUACAUCCUCUAGCUUGGUUUUUCUCAGACAAGCAGAGGUAAAGGGCCCGUUCUGUUGUUUGAUUUGAUUUUGUUUGGUUAUUUAUUUCUAAUCACUCACUGGUCAAUACAUUUAUAAAAACAAUAAACAGGAUUAAAAGUAGAAUAAAGAGAUAGGC
rnacentral:lncRNA from 1 species